UUUGUUUUUGUUUGUUUUUUUGUUUUUUUGUUGCUUAGGCUGCUUAAAACUAGGCCAUUAUAUUAUAAUGCAGUAGACACUGCUUUUCAUGUAUAAAAGAUAAGUUAUUUUACUUUACAGGUUUUGACAUGACAAAGCACAUCAGAGUUUAUGAUAACACCAAUCAAUAUCUGACAAUACACAACCGUGACAUGGAAAUUCUGAAGACUUUCUUAUUUUUACACACUGUUUCAUAUAAUUACAAAUUGUGCCCAAUACAUUAUGAUUUUUAAACAAAUCAUUGCAUAAUAAGUUAUUAUAAUAAAAUUGUAAUACAAUUAAAAUAUUAAAUUAUUUACAUUAUAUACUAAAGUACUGUUUUUUUUCCAGAGAUGCUUUUAGAAAUAUUGCAUCCUUGGACAAUUGGACUGUGUCUAGUCCACAGCAAUGGCAGAGAGACGAUGGAAGGAACUGUGGUGUUUUCGUAUGCACAAUGGCAGAGAUGGAAGCUAAAAGUAUUAAAAUGUGCCACGAAAUUCUGCACACUGAACAGAUGGGAUACCUUCAUCUUUACCAUGCCUCAUGCAUGGUGAAACAUCUGCAACCAGAGGUAACCCUUGACAAUUAAAAGGUAAAAGGUUUACAGUUUACAGAGUAUGCAAAGCUCAACGUGAAAGUUUAUCCUAGGACUUUCCACCCAAAGUCAAAAUAGUCCAGACCAGCUGUAUGGCCCAUGUAGGAGUUUGCAUUUAUCAAAAAUAUUGAUCAAAAGUAAUGCACCCACGAAUCCAGUCAGUGGACUGGAUUCAAUAUGACCUCUGCAAAAAAUGCCUGCAUUCUGACUGCGCAUGUAUCAGCCUUGAAACGAUCACAGAGGAAACAUCAUUCAGAUGUGGAUGUGACACUAACCAUGUGCAUACCUUUGAGAAAACAUUGGCACUACUGAAGAAGGGCUGGUUGGUUGACAUUGUAAUACAGGAUCAAGACGUGUGUGUAGGAUGGCCGAACUUAAGGCCCGGGUACACUUCACAUUCAGCGUUCCUUUCUGUCUCGCACACAGCCACGUCUGUACCGCUUUCAAAAACUGGCUGUUUUUUGCCUUAUUGCAACUCUCUGUUCUGGACUUGCACAAACUGUAUUGCAAUGCAAUCAUUUUCCAAAAUGUCAUUAAUGUGAAAAUAUGAAGUCUGUUGACGCCCGUUAACACAGGCCAGAGACGCUGAAGACGGACGCACAGCGAAAAAUACCGUAGCAGGCAGAUCACUCAAUGUUCAUGAUGCACGAACUAUUGGAAGAAAAUCCUUAAUAUUGAUUUGGGGGUUUAUAUGAAUGUGUUUCUGAGGGGAGCUGACUGUCUUCUGAAAAGUUUACUUAAUAUAAUUUCACAAAGCUUGUCAGAACAUUCUGUUUUUGCUUCAAAUUGGGUUAUUAUUAAAUCAAAUUGUGUAUGAUUAUUAUUAUAUAACUAAAUGAUAUGAAAUUAUAUAAAUGAUAUGUAUAUGAAUUAUAUAACUAAAAUUAAAUAACUGUAAUUACAGAUUUAGGUUAAAUAAAGAUGUCAGUCUUUAAACCUCGCGCUCUCUCUUGUGAAGCCAAUAAGGAAUUAGACUAAAACUGUAAUUCAUCGACUGGCCGCUUGAGGCUGGCUGCAAAAGGGAGUCAGUCUCAUAGACUCCCCAUGUUAAAAUGCCCAACUUUACAGCAGAAAAAACAUGUUUACAGCCUGGUUCAAAAAAUGAUUUUGGUCUAUAUUGCUAAUUUUGCCCUUCAUGACAACUGUGAGGGGGGGUGAAUUUUUUUAUAACUCAUCCGUUUAAAUUAUAUUAAGCCUUAAAAGUUCUGCAUAAUUAAGGGCGUGGCCACUUGAGUGACAGGUGGAUUGCCGCUGCUGACAAUGCCGUCGCACUAGGUGGGCGUGGCUUCAGCAACCAGCUCCCGCCUUUUUGCCCAUUUUCGAUUUUCCGGGAGAGUCGCGCGGUGACGCGCUGCCAAGAUGGUGACGGCCCGCUCUGCACACUUUGAGCUUCAAAAACCGAUAUUGAGUAGUCUAUGGGUGACGUCACGGACACUACGUCCAUAUUUUUUUACAGUCUAUGGUUAU
rnacentral:lncRNA from 1 species